rnacentral:rRNA from 1 species
UCACGCAUCGCGUCUCCCCCACAUUCCACCUUGGUGGAGGGGAAGGAGGAUGGUUUCCCGCGACUCACCGGUCGCGGCUGGCCUAAAAUCGGAGCCCUCGGCAUCGGGAUGCCGCGGCGAUAGGUGGUGAACAAGGCCUCGGCCAAGCAAGCAACCCGUCGCGCAUGCCGUGCCAAUGUGGUCUCGAAGGACCCUUUGUCGUUGUCUUUAAGGCAACCAAACCGUUGCGAC